GCGGCCUAUCAGCUUGUUGGUGAGGUAAUGGCUCACCAAGGCAACGAUGGGUAGCCGGCCUGAGAGGGCGACCGGCCACACUGGGACUGAGACACGGCCCAGACUCCUACGGGAGGCAGCAGUGGGGAAUAUUGGGCAAUGGAGGAAACUCUGACCCAGCGACGCCGCGUGCGGGAUGAAGGCCUUCGGGUUGUAAACCGCUUUCAGUAGGGAAGAAGCGAAAGUGACGGUACCUACAAAAGAAGCACCGGCUAACUAUGUGCCAGCAGCCGCGGUAAUACAUAGGGUGCAAGCGUUGUCCGGAAUUAUUGGGCGUAAAGAGCUCGUAGGUCGUUUGUUACGUCGGAUGUGAAAACCUGAGGCUCAACCUCAGGCCUGCAUUCGAUACGGGCAAACUAGAGUUUGGUAGGGGAGACUGGAAUUCCU
rnacentral:rRNA from 1 species